AUUGCCGUAACGAUUAUGUAUUCUGCUAGCUAGGAUAUAGUUGAAGGAAAGAAUUAACCAGAUUAAAAUGGCUUACGAGCAUUAGAGACCUUUUCUUAUUAUUAUUGUUAUUAUUAUUUUCCAUUUUGCUUCUUACAAAACAAUCCCAAAGCAAAGCGUAAAAGAUUAUGUAUUCUGCUAGUUGAUAGCAGCUUGCAGAAACAGCAAGAUGUAAGACUGUGUUGCCAUACAGAUCCGGUCGGCGGAAAAGAUCGUUGCUCCCUAAAGUCUCCGUCAUUGUGACGAAAGCUUUGCAUUUACCAAAUUUAGCAGCAAGGUGCAUUACUGUUUCUGCCUUUUUGGUGAGAAGCAUGAAAGAUUUGGGAGCCAUUGUCAUAAAUUCAGUAAGUAGGAGAACGUCACCAUUCAUUGCUGCAAAGUGCAAUGGUGUGUAGGCAUUCUUAUUAAACCUGUUAGCACACCUUGGUUCUACUUUUAGAAUCAAUCUUGUAAUCUCCAAGAGACCUCUUUCACAAGCGUAGUGCAAUGGUACACAACCAUCCUCGUCGGUCUCCCAAGCAAAUUCUGGCCACCCUUCGAGUACUUUCCUCACAAUAUUUGUGUUUUCUUUUAAUAUUAAAUUGCGUGGACUGAUCCUUUCUUGCACAAUUCCAGCCAACUCAGGACAUAGUUCAGCAAUCUUUCUGGCUAUUUUAUUGUGCCCCAUUCUUGAAUCCCCAGGUGUAACCUAUUCUGCAAUGAUCGCAGACGAAAGAGAGAUAAAUAAAGGGGCGAUGCCUCUGCACAAGGAGAAAACAACACGGCUUUCCUCUCUGC
rnacentral:misc_RNA from 1 species